rnacentral:lncRNA from 1 species
UAUAAAGUCGCUAAUUUUGGCUUCCGCAGCCGCUAGUGGAUUUAAAAUUCUUAAAUUUUUGAGAUUUUGGAUUGUUAUUAAGCUUCCAAUUUGGUUACGCAGCCACCAAUUUGAGCUUUGGAAUUAUUAUGUUUUGAAUCAUGAUUUCCAGCAGCAAUUUUAAUGUUUGGAGUCAAUUCAUUUUUUGUCUUUCAUCCUAGCUUCCGUAGUAGGCAAAUCCGCGGCCACACGUAAUAAAACAUAGAUUUUGACUAACUUCCUUUUAGGAUUAAUUCUUGAAUCUGAAUCUGGAUGUGUAUUGGGUUUUUCUGUUCUUUUUUUUUUUUUUUUAACAAGUGUGUGAAUCUGUACGUAUGCGCAUAAAUUUAUGGGCAUGCCAUUUUUAUAUUUACAUAUUAUGUGCAUAAAUAUUUGUAUAAAGCUGCCUAUUUAGUGGUCAUCUGGGCGACGACGUACUGGCAAAAUGUAGCGUCGGUGGCCGAGGCAAAAAGGAAAAGUUUUUCCCUUUAGGAUUUUCUGAAAAUCGAUUUUGAAUAUAUUGGAGACGGGAGCCUCUGUUGCAAAUUAUGGGUUUAGAGGCCCCUAUCUGCAAUUAAGAGAUUGGGCUUAAACUUGCAAGUUUAAAAGGAGGGUCUGUCAUGUAAUUUGUAUAGUUGAGGGACCUGAUUUUAAUUUGUGUUUAGUAUUAAAAUGUAAUUUUCAAUAGGAGGCUCUUAAAUUCGAACUUCUAAACUUUUGACUUUAAAAUUUUAUUUUUGACCAAAUUAAAACUUUAAUUGAUAAUUGACCCGAUUAAAACAUAUUAGAUAAUAAUAAUAAUUUGAUUGACGACUUUUAUAUUUUUCAUUAAAUUGUAUAUGUAUU